ensembl:misc_RNA Metazoa_SRP Metazoan signal recognition particle RNA
GCUGGGUGUGGUGGCCCAUGCCUGUAAUCUCAGUACUUUGGGAAGCUGAGGCAGGUGGAUCACUUGAGGUCAGGAGUUCAAGACCAGCCUGGCCUACAUGGUGAAAACCUGUCUCUA